rnacentral:rRNA from 1 species
AAGCCUUCGGGUGGAUUAGUGGCGAACGGGUGAGUAACACGUGGGAAAUCUGCCCUGCACUCUGGGACAAGCCUUGGAAACGAGGUCUAAUACCGGAUAUGACCUUCCUCUGCAUGGGGGUUGGUGGAAAGCUCCGGCGGUGCAGGAUGAUCCCGCGGCCUAUCAGCUUGUUGGUGGGGUAAUGGCCUACCAAGGCGACGACGGGUAGCCGGCCUGAGAGGGCGACCGGCCACACUGGGACUGAGACACGGCCCAGACUCCUACGGGAGGCAGCAGUGGGGAAUAUUGCACAAUGGGCGAAAGCCUGAUGCAGCGACGCCGCGUGAGGGAUGACGGCCUUCGGG